rnacentral:snRNA from 1 species
AAAUAUGAGGGCAAUCUGGCUACGACAUCUGCCACCCCCAUCAUCGUCAGGGUGGAUUCAGAUGGCCAAGCUAAGCAGGUGGCCUCCUUAUUCCUCACCCUUCCUUCAUGCAAGGUCUUUCUUCAGUUCAGGAAGACAGAGAAUGUGACCUCAUAUAGAAAAAUGGUAUUUUCAAAUAAAACUUUCCAAAUGACAGCACAUCACUGCUAGAUUCUCUUUUAGGUAUGGUGCUAAUACUAACUUUUCAGGAUAUUAUUCUCAGACUUUUCAAUAUCUUUUCAUUUCCU